CUUGAAUACUGCAGCCAUUACACCUCUACUAUGUCUUUUGUGAAGUCUUAUUUAAGUCUCCCAUCCAAUAUUCUAUUGGUUAUCUGUCUUUUUCUUAGUAAGAAAGAGACGGAUGAGGCUAUGCUGUUCCCUUAUCUCCAAUCUAAGACAAUCAACUAUCCUGAGUAAUGUGUCUUACAUUUUCCUUCCUGAAAAUUUUACAUCACAAAAGGUAUGAGAUGGCUCAUUUGACAACUGCAUUCUUUUUUUUUUUUUUUUACUAGUUAUCCUGCAACUAAUAGAAGAAAGAAACAUGGAGAAAAUGGAGCAGAUAUUCAAAGUAACUGUAUUUGACUUUGGUUAGCAAUGAUACAGACUUGGCAGGCAUAAAACUGACUGUGCCAUUCUGACACCCUCACUCUCUCAGCAGGUCUGAUUUACUCCUGAUGUUCACUUCUGUCUUUCCUAGGAGAAUAUUUCUCACGUGUUUGACAGAAAACACUACCUGUCCAUCAUUUCCAUGGAUUCCUGGGUCUCACGGGCAGAAGGACAAGGCAGAUAUGAGGAGGAUCUGGUAAACUUUUCUCCCCAGGCAUCUUUAUUUGGUUUGCUGACCAAAGCAUUAUUCACACUUCUCCUGCGGCCACGCCAAUGCCACACCCGCCGCAAGGUGCUCCCGGUCUCCUACCUCUGAACAGUGGUCUGAAUCUCUGACUUGAGCCGUGCAGCCCUUUGAAAGAAAAGUGAUUUAGGAGCUCAGCCCUCUGAGGAUGUAAAGCCCGUCACAGGUGCUUGUUUUUCUGUCUCCGAGUGUGGAAGAUGCCUUCUGUGAGGUCCUGCGCCUCUGCGUAAGCAGCUGAGUAGCUCCUUGGGCUGACAAAAUACUUUGCUGUGGCUGCAUUACACACCCAGGGCAACCUCUUUAGCUGGAUUUUGCAGACUGGGAAAUGGGCUCUGAGGGGAAGUCACGCCUCAUCUCAAGGUUUACUGAGGAGCCACGAGGAGGCCCCACCGCUGCCACAGCUAACUCAUGGCCUCCGGCCAGGAAGUCUGGAGAUUUUAAGACAAUAAUGUCAGCCAGGGUGACCUCUGGAACCUGUUCACCCCUUCACCCGUUGUGAACAAGAGAGCUGAAUAGCCACUAUCAGAGAUAAUAACAACAGCUGACAUUAUUAAUAGGAUGACUUACAGGCUGUAAAAUACUUUCACAAACAGGAUCUCAUUUGAUCCUCAUAAUCUCAACAUGAGGUGCGUAAAGCAAGCAAUUAUUACUGAUCUCCUUUUACAGAAGAGAAAAGGAAGUCCUGAGAGAUGAAUCCACUUCUGGGAGGUGUGACAACGUUCAGCUUUACCUGAGCCAUGGUCAGGAAACUUUUCUGCGUUCCAGGAAAUGGCCGGUCACAACGACUGGCCUUUCCCUAUAAAAACUUACAAAACCCUCACAGGUGACCUCCUUGUUUACCUAUGACAGAACCAGACACAGUGCCAGAUCCUCCAAACUCCCAUUCUUUGCCUUAUAUGUAAUCAGUUGAACUGUUUGUAUCUACUGACUAAUCUAGACAAGGUACUUGCUAACUUGACCUGUUUAAAAGUUCGAAAUGCCAAACUUUCUUUCUUUUUUUUUUUUUUCCCAUCCCACCCCACCCAGAUGGAGUUUCACUCUUGUCACCCAGGCUGGAGUGAGUGCAGUGGUGCCAUCUCGGCUCAGUGCAACCUCUGCCUCCCGGGUUCAAGCAAUUCUCCUGCCUCAGCCUCUAGAAUAGCUGGGAUUACAGGCAUGUGCCACCACACCCGGCUAAUUUUGUUUGUUUAGUAGAGACAGGGUUUCAUCAUGUUGGCCAGGCUUGUUACAAACUCCUGACCUCAGGUGAUCUGCUGCCUCAGCCUCCCACAGUGCUGGGAUUACAAGUGUGAGCCACAGUGCCUGGCCCGAAAUGCUAAACUUUCAUCAAGAUAUUGCAAUAGUCUUUUCUAAGAAAGCUCUUCCUUACUUAACUUGUGCCUGGCCCCAAAUGCUAAACUUUCAUCAAAUAUUGC
ensembl:lincRNA